UACGUAGGGGGCUAGCGUUGUCCGGAUUUAUUGGGCGUAAAGAGCUCGUAGGGGGUUCGGUAAGUCGGAUGUGAAAGCCCGGGGCUUAACUCCGGGUCUGCAUUCGAUACGGGCAGGCUAGAGUUCGGUAGGGGAGAUCGGAAUUCCUGGUGUAGCGGUGAAAUGCGCAGAUAUCAGGAGGAACACCGGUGGCGAAGGCGGAUCUCUGGGCCGAUACUGACGCUGAGGAGCGAAAGCGUGGGGAGCGAACAGG
rnacentral:rRNA from 1 species